rnacentral:rRNA from 1 species
GAUGAACGCUGGCGGCGUGCUUAACACAUGCAAGUCGAACGGAAAGGCCACAGCUUGCUGUGGUACUCGAGUGGCGAACGGGUGAGUAACACGUGGGUGAUCUGCCCUGUACUUCGGGAUAAGCUGGGGAAACUGGGUCUAAUACCGGAUAGGAAUCACAUGUGGGGGGGUGGUUGGAAAGCUUUUGCGGUAUGGGAUGAGCUCGCGGCCUAUCAGCUUGUUGGUGGGGUAAUGGCCUACCAAGGCGUCGACGGGUAGCCGGCCUGAGAGGGUGUACGGCCACAUUGGGACUGAGAUACGGCCCAGACUCCUACGGGAGGCAGCAGUGGGGAAUAUUGCACAAUGGGCGCAAGCCUGAUGCAGCGACGCCGCGUGGGGGAUGACGGCCUUCGGGUUGUAAACUCCUUUCGUCAGGGACGAAGCGAAAGUGACGGUACCUGGAUAAGAAGCACCGGCUAACUACGUG